CUUACACCCCUCUACCCCGGAUAACAGCUAAUCCCCUCUGCUCCCGGCAGUGCUGGGCCGCUGGGCUGAGAGGCCCGGCCCGCUGCUGGCGAGGGCAGGGAGGGGAAGGGGAGACAAGGAGGGGGGAUUACCUGAGCAAAUCGGCGUCUGAAUCCAACGAGAAUCCGAGAGAGGGGGAGAGAAAUCCGCCCCCCUCCCUCCUCAGAGGAGCCGCCGCCGCCGCUGGGCCGCCGCCGCCGCCGCGGAGCAGGAGGAGGAGGGGAGAUAAUAUAACAACAAUAAUCCGGGCCGGGAGGGGGGCUGGCUCCUCUUCCGUCUCCUCCUCAGUGCAGCGAACAUGUAGAGCCGGGGGGUGUGCGGCCGAGGCAAAUCCCUUCCCCCCGAGCCUGCUUCACAACAUCAACACGGGUCGGGCCGCGCCGCGCCGAACCGGUUCCGAGCCGCGCUCCGAGCCGGGGAGAGCGGAGGGUGGCCCAGGGGCAGCGCUGCCAAGGGGCCGCCGCCGCCGCCGCUCCCUCCGAGAGUGCGAGCGCAGGAGGGCGGGGAGGGGCGGCCUGGGCACGAACAAAAUGCCGACCGGAAGUGCAGCGGCAGGAAUGACUCCCUCCACCGGCGCCAAACACCAGCAACCUCCCCCUUCCCUCCGCUGCCUCCUCCUCGCCCGAACGCUCCCUCGCUCCACCAGCGCCGCUUCCGCCGCUGCAGCUGGAGGGGCUCCCUUGCCUCGCCUCUCCCAGCAGAGCCUCCCCUGCGUAGCUCCUCUCCCUGCUGCACGACCUUCUCUUUUUUCCCCCUUUUUAAAAAUUUUCUCCCUCUUCCCGGCCUUUUGGUGCGCGGAACGAGACCGAAGUUUAUGCUUAAGCCUCCGCUGAGGAUUUGCGAAGAAGGGAUUCUCUUGGAAAAAAAUACACGUUUUGGUGUUUAUUUUUCUGUCCUGCCUAAGCAUGGUGGAGGAGGACUGCAAAAGGCUGCCUCGCAGGAGGCAGACCUGGAAAGGGCUCUUAAACUGAACCCUCAGAGGCGGCAGCCCCUGGAGGUGGGACACUCGCUGGAGUUACUGUCGCCGCUCAUGCCCUUUCUAUGUGGAUGUGAGAGGCCGCGCCGCAGGAACCGAAACACCCGCUGCUCAAAGCAUUGCCGGGGCGAGGGAUUUCCAGAGAUGGACAUACGAAAAGGGAGUGGCUUUCAAAAACGGGCUUUUUGGACGAGCACCGGGGAAAAUGCUGAUGUUCAGCUGGACAUGUGCUGGAAAUUUGCGUCUCAGCAUGGCCACAGGGAUGAAUAG
rnacentral:lncRNA from 1 species